GUCUCAGUUCGGAUUGGAGUCUGCAACCCGACUCCAUGAAGCUGGAUUCGCUAGUAAUCGCGCAUCGGCCACGGCGCGGUGAAUACGUUCCCGGGCCUUGUACACACCGCCCGUCAAGCCAUGGAAGCCGGGAGUGCCUGAAGUACGCGACCGCAAGGAGCGUCCUAAGGUAAAACCGGUGACUGGGGCUAAGUCGUAACAAGGUAGC
rnacentral:rRNA from 1 species